rnacentral:rRNA from 1 species
GAUGCGCGGUCUACCUGCAGUCGAGCGGUUCAUGGUCCUUGGUGCUGGCUCUCUCAUGAGAGAGGUGAGUCGGACUGGGUAUCAACACUGUGCGUGAGGGAUGGCGAGAGGGGGAUAACACUUGGCUCAGGUGCCUUACCGCAUAACAUGUUAUACCUUCUGACCUAACACUGUCAGGCGCUUCUGGGUGUCACUAAUGGAUGGACCCGCUGGGGUUAACUAGUUGGUGAGGUAACGGCUCACCAAGGCCACAGAGCAUACCCGACCUGAGAGGGUGAUCGACCACACUGGGACUGAGACACGGCCCAGACUCCUACGGGAGGCAGCAGUAGGGAAUCUUCGGCAAUGGACGAAAGUCUGACCGAGCAACGCCGCGUGAGUGAAGAAGGUUUUCGGAUCGUAAAACUCUGUUGUUAGAGAAGAACAAGGACGUUAGUAACUGAACGUCCCCUGACGUUCUAACCGAGAAAGCCACGGCUAACUCGUGCCAGCAGCCGCGGUAAUCGUAGGUGGCAAGCGUUUCCGGAUUAUUGGGCGUAAAGCGAGCAGGCGGUUUCUAAGUCUGGUGAAAGCCCCGGCUCAACCGGGAGGUCAUUGGAAACUGGGGACUUGAGUGCGAGAGGAGAGUGGAAUUCCAUGUGUAGCGGUGAAAUGCGUAGAUAUAUGGAGGAACCCGUGGCGAAGCGCUCUGGUCUGAACUGACGCUGAGGUGGAAAGCGUGGGAGCAAACAGAUUAGAUACCUGGUAGUCCACGCCGUAACGAUGUCGACUAGGUGUUGGUGGCUUGAGCCUUGAGUGCGCAGCUAACGCAUUAAUCGACCGCCUGGGGAGUACGGCCGCAAGGUUAGAACUCAAAUGAAUUGACGGGGCCCGCACAAGCGGUGGAGCAUGUGGUUUAAUUCGAAGCAACGCGAAGAACCUUACCUAGCUCUGACAUCCAGAGACCUCCCAGAGAUAGAUCUUUCCUUUGGGAGAUCAGAGACAGGUGCGGCAUGGCUGUCGUCAGCUCGUGUCUGAAAUGUUGGGUUAAGUCCCGCAACGAGCGCCACCCUUGUCUUUUGUUUCCAGUCAUUCGGUUGGGCACUCUAGCGAGACUGCCGGGGACAAACCGGAGGAAGGGGGGGAUGACGUCAAAUCAUCAUGCCCCUUAUGGCCUGGGGUUCCCCCCGGGUUCAAAGGGAAGAUCCAAAGAGAAGCGGCCUGGGGAGAGCAAGCGGUCUUCAUAAACUUCUUUCUAGUCGGGAUGCGAGUCUGCAACUGGACUCCAGGAACUGGGAAUGGCUGGUAAUGGGGAAUCAGAAUGCUACGUGGAAUCGGUUCCCGGCCCUGGUCCACACGGCCGGUAACCCCCAGGGAAUUGGGUCCCCAGGAGUUGGGGAGCUAACCUUUAAGGAGCCCGCUUCCCACGGUGGAUACAUGAUGGGUGAAGUCGUAACAAGUAACAGCGC